GUAAGGAAUAUUGGACAAUGGUGGCAACACUGAUCCAGCCAUGCCGCGUGAAGGAUGAAGGCGCUAUGCGUCGUAAACUUCUUUUGAACGGGAGAAACCCCACGCUCGUGAGCGUGGCUGAUAGUACCGUUAGAAUAAGGGUCGGCUAACUUCGUGCCAGCAGCCGCGGUAAUACGAAGGACCCGAGCGUUAUCCGGAUUCAUUGGGUUUAAAGGGUGCGUAGGCGGAGUGAUAAGUCAGUGGUGAAAUCCUGCAGCUUAACUGCAGAACUGCCAUUGAUACUGUCAUUCUUGAAUGUAACUGAUGUGGGCGGAAUGUGCCAUGUAGUGGUGAAAUACUUAGAUAUGGCACAGAACACCGAUUGCGAAGGCAGCUCACAAAAUUAUUAUUGACGCUGAUGCACGAAAGCGUGGGGAUCAAACAGGAUUAGAAACCCUGGUAGUCC
rnacentral:rRNA from 1 species